rnacentral:rRNA from 1 species
AGCAGUCGCCGCGGUAAAACGUAGGGGGCAAGCGUUAUCCGGAAUUACUGGGUGUAAAGGGAGCGUAGACGGUUAAACAAGUCUGAAGUGAAAUGCCGGGGCUCAACCCCGGAGCUGCUUUGGGAACUGUAGAACUGGAGUGUCGGAGGGGUAAGCGGAAUUCCCAGUGUAGCGGUGAAAUGCGUAGAUAUUGGGAGGAACACCGGCGGCGAAGGCGGCUUACUGGACGACAACUGACGUUGAGGCUCGAAGGCGUGGGUAGCAAACUGGAUUAGAUACCCCGGUAGUCCCUGUCUCUUAUAC